CCUACGGGAGGCAGCAGUAGGGAAUCUUCCACAAUGGGCGAAAGCCUGAUGGAGCAACGCCGCGUGGGUGAAGAAGGUCUUCGGAUCGUAAAACCCUGUUUUUAGAGAAGAAAGUGCGUGAGAGUAACUGUUCACGUUUCGACGGUAUCUAACCAGAAAGCCACGGCUAACUACGGGCCAGCCGCCGCGGUGAUACGUAGGUGGCAAGCGUUAUCCGGAUUUAUUGGGCGGAAAGGGAGCGCAGGCGGUCUUUUAAGUCUGAUGUGAAAGCCUUCGGCUUAACCGGAGUAGUGCAUUGGAGACUGGGAGACUUGAGUGCAGAAGAGGAGAGUGGAACUCGAGGUGUAGCGGUGAAAUGCGUAGAUAUAUGGAAGAACACCAGUGGCGAAAGCGGCUCUCUGGUCUGUAACUGACGCUGAGGUUCGAAAGCGUGGGUAGCAAACAGGAUUAGAUACCCCGGUAGUC
rnacentral:rRNA from 1 species